rnacentral:rRNA from 1 species
AGAAUCAACGCUGGCGGCGUGCCUAACACAUGCAAGUCGAACGAGAAAGUGGAGCAAUCCAUGAGUAAAGUGGCGACCGGGUGAGUAACACGUGACUAACCUACCUUCGAGUGGGGGAUAACCUCGGGAAACCGGGGCUAAUACCGCAUAACAUCUUUGGAGUGGAAAUUUCGGAGAUCAAAGGGGCAAUUCGCUUGAAGAGGGGGUCGCGGCUGAUUAGCUAGUUGGCGGGGUAACGGCCCACCAAGGCAAAGAUCGGUA